UUCCCGUGUAUCUAUGCUAUAGUCUAUAGCUCUAACACUGCUCCGAAGUUAUUUCAGAUUGAAUGAGUGUCCUGAUUUAAUAAAUGUAGUGUUAAAGACGGGCACGAUAUGUAAUGAAAGUGUCCCAUACAGUCCCAUGACAUUCCCCGCGUCUUCCUCGGAGCCCCCUCUAUAAAAUUGCACGCCUCGUUGCCAGGUCCAGCUACAGUAUAUCUAGCCAGUGCUUAAUGUGUAAAGAAAGAGGAGCCGGGGCGCAAGCAAUGACGAUAAUACCGUCCUGAAGAAGCGCGCAUUCAAAAUCAUAACACGUGUAUUUGAAAGAGUAUUGCACGUGCUAGUGUUAGAUGAUUACAAUCACGUGUUCCACAUCAUAUACAAAGCAGGAGUGCAGCAGAGAAAUUAAGAAAAGGCAACCGCAGCACAAAUAAUAAAUACAAAAAAGCAUGUGUACACGUUUUGUUAUGGUUUUGCAUUUGAAUGGUUUAAAAAAACAAACACAUUAAAAUGCAUUCCGAGGACUCCAGAAGGACGACACUGAUUUAAAAUAAACACGCCCCCCCACACGCGCAUUGGUUUGCCCCGCGGUCUGCUCUAUUAUCAGUGAUGUGUUUGCAACAGAAGCGGCUGGUAGAUUACAAAAACAUCAAUUAAACUGAGGCUAGGUAGCAGUGAUCUUAGUAUGUUUUGAUUCUCUAUUAAUUAAAUUAUAUUAAUUGAAAAAGCCAAGAGAGAACCAGAUCGUUAUUUUUUUUAUUGUUUUGGUUUAAUAUAAUAUAGCAGGCUAAUGUUCCUAUUGAAGUAGGCUACCAUAUAUUUUUUUAAUUAAAAAGUUGUCGUUGUUCUUUGUUGAAAUUAAUGUUCCGCUUUCAUAUUUUGUUGUGUUCUACUCAUUUAAUCAAACCAAGUAGUGUAAGAAGUUGCUUGUAUCGUUCAUGACGUUUUUCAAAUCAAGUAAUCUUAUUUGUUUUUUUAUAAAAGACAAAAGCGCAGCCAGUGACAUCUUACUUAAAGGCGCUCAAGAUGAAAUCGUAAAGUAAUUUAAAGUCGGCUAAAAACGUGGCAGCGGAGUGUCUCUCUAACGCGCACGCAAGAACUUGCAGACUUGAUACAACUGUGUUGAGAAUUUAAAAUGAAAGCGUUUUAUGAGAUUUUUAACUCGAGGUCCCGGGAAUAUGACUCUGCACGCCCAGAGGUUCCGGGGCUGAGCCCCGGCACAAAGUAAGCACCGAGUAUAGCGAUGAAGAAACAAACGAUUAAAUAUCCCAGUCGAUGGAAAUUCAAACUUCAAUUCAAGACCAAAGCUAUUUCAGAUUAAAUGAGUGUGAGUGAGUGUAAUACAUGGACUGGAAAAGACGAUAAAAGCGAAAACAAAUUGUUUAAAAUUCUCAAAAAAAAAACAUUCUUUAAAAUUCUUUUAAAAUCGCCGUUAUUCACACAGCUGCGCACUCUGUGCCGUUGUCAUGGCAAAUGUCUCCCCCCCAGUCAUGUGACAUGUCAGUGUUCUGUUGCUAUGCGCGUCCUCCCCUGAGUCAUGUGACGUGGCAGCGUUCUGUUGCUAUGCGCGUCUCCCCCUGAGUCAUGUGACGUGUCAGCGUUCUGUUGCUAUGCGCGUCCCCCCCUGAAUCAUGUGACGUGUCAGCGUUCUGUUGCUAUCCGCGUCACUGCUUUUGCUCCAAUGGUCUUGAGACUGACAGUUGGAGUUCACUGACGCCGUCAUACAAUUGUGAUCAAAUCAUUUAUCUUUUUACAGAACAAAUUUAUAAAACUACUCAGAAAACUACAUUUAUCAUUGAUAUGGAUCACUUGAGAGCAGAACAUCGCUACUGAAUAUCCUGAAAAAGACACCAAAGAGAAGAGGGGUAUCAGAAAGAAAGCCAGGACAUUCGCUUGAGAAGAAUGGAGAGUGUCUCCGUGUGACCGAUGAAGAGGAGAAGACUGCCAUUCUCAAUGAAGUUCACGCAGGACACUUCGGCUCAUGGGUGUGUGGACAAGGGGGUGGGGGGAGCCCCAGAAUUAGGAGUUAUUUGUUUUAUUGUGUUGGACAGCACACGUGGAGGGGUGAUGAGGUCAUGGACACAGCCAGGCUCUGCUACGUAGACAGUACCCACAGGUGGGAGGUUUGUAUGCUGUCACCAGCCUGACACAGCUGACCUCCUUCAGCUCACCGGCUCAAGGAUUUGUACAGAUUCUCAAUGUGUCUGGCAAUCACUGGGUCACGGUCGUAUCACUGCUGCAGUUCAGUGGAAAGACAGUUGGGAUCGGGUGGCCACAUGUACAGCAGCAGCAGGGAUGUAGUGACUGUGGACUGUUUACCAUCGCAAACAGCCUCACUCUCUGCAUGGGUGGAGAUCCAGGUAAGUUAUGUUAUGAUCAAAAGCAAAUGCGUGAUCAUCUUUUUUCUUGUUUUGUAGAUGGAUCUCUUCCUCCUUUCCCGAGCUGUGAGAGAACCCCCCUCCCAGAGGUACAUUUCUGUGAUGUGGAGACCAGACAGGAUUGCACUGGAGCUGAUGGUGGAAUGCAGGAGGUGUGGAGAAUGGUUCCAUGGCCAGUGUGAAGAUCUACAGCCAGAUGCCCUCAUAAGCAUGGAGGUGUGUAUGUGCUCCAUUUGGAUUAGUAUAUUAUACUAACACUCCAAUGUGGUAAUGCCUGUCAAGCAACAUUACCAUCAUUUACAGCUAUUCACAUGUGUAUUGUUAAUAAGGCUCAGUGUCUUCAGUGUUUAUUUUUCAUGAGAGCACAAACUACUUAUUUUAAAGAAUUCAUUUUUUUCAGCAGACCCUGAUUCUGUAUUGAGACCUUUUUAUUUGGAGAAAUAUUGCAGAUGCUUUUGUAUUUUCGUUUUUAAUUGGUAUGGUAGUCUUAGUUUCUGAGCUACUGAAUUAUUGCCUGACUUGAGUAUUUCCAGGGCAGAGAUAUCCAAAGUAAACUGGAUGUCAGUUCUAACACCCACCUUGUUUAAUGUAGUUAUAUUGAACUAGCGGGGGAGGGGCUGAUUCACUGUAUUGAAGUGAAAUUGUGCCAUAUAAGGUGUGUGUAACAUGAUGUAAAAGUACAGUAGAUGUAAUUCUGAAGUAAUAAACAACUUCACAUUUUACGUGUACAUGUUUCAGACAUUAAUGCUUCAAUUUCAAAUUCGAUUUCCAUUCCUAUUAACUGAUAUUAGACAAUGACAUAUUAUAAAAGUUAAUAGUAUGAAAUGUCCGUAUGAUUUACUGAUAACACAUAUAAAUUGGUGAUGUCAUUUUUCGACAGGCAGCCUCUUUAAAGCCCUUCUUUUUUUGUGGGUUGUGUGAGAAGGCAUUUUAAAGUUCUGUUAAACCUGCUCCUAACACCCCACUCCAUCGGUCAGGACCUUGAUGUGGCCAUUGGAAACGGGGCAUUAGACCUUAACCUGACCUGCUUGCAAUAUCGCCUGUACCCACUGGGGGGAGACAGAGAUACAUGCAAAGAUCUCUAGUGCUUUAAUUCUCAUCCAAACUGUAUUGAAUUUACUUCAUACUUCUGCAGUAAUCCAUCAUCCAUAGUUCACUUGUAUUUUAUGACCAUUGCUGUGCCACUGUCUGUCUGCCUGCCACUGAAGAUCAUUUAGGGUACAGUUAGGACACUGUGGUCCAACAGGUACAGGGCAGCUACAAUGGGGUGAGGCUGGUAGAAUGGGACCACAGUGUGCUAACUAUACCCUCAAUGAUCUUCAAUGACAGACAGACAAACAGACAGACAGACAGCGGCACUGCAAUGGUUCUGUAUGACGCUAAGCGGUGAUGUUUCUUUUCAUUUCUCAUCAGGCCUGACAUGGACAGCUCACAGGAGAUCCAAUUGCUCUACUCUCUGUGCGAGUAGAGGUCACUUUACUUUCCUUGAGUAAACUUUCCUUUGUAAAGGGUUUUGGCUGGUAAACGGUUGAGCCGUCCAGUUGUAGUUUAGGUUUGUUUUGUUUAUUUUUGUUUUGUAUUUAAUGAAAGUACACGACAGUGCUACAAA